GCCCAAGUGACGGAAUGGUAGACGUACAGGACUUAAAAUCCUGGGGUAGCGAUACCGUGCCGGUUCAAGUCCGGCUUUGGGCA
rnacentral:tRNA from 1 species